GGGGAUGUAGCUCAGUAUCAGAGUGCUUGCCUAGCUUUCACAAGGCUCUGGGUUCAAGCCCCAGUAUUCCCC
rnacentral:tRNA from 1 species